UGGAUCCAGACUUUGAUCAUGGCUCAGGAUGAACGCUAGCUACAGGCUUAACACAUGCAAGUCGAGGGGCAGCAUGAACUUAGCUUGCUAAGUUUGAUGGCGACCGGCGCACGGGUGAGUAACACGUAUCCAACCUUCCGUUUACUCAGGGAUAGCCUUUCGAAAGAAAGAUUAAUACCUGAUAGUAUGGUGAGAUUGCAUGAUAACACCAUUAAAGAUUCAUUGGUAAACGAUGGGGAUGCGUUCCAUUAGGUAGUAGGCGGGGUAACGGCCCACCUAACCAACGAUGGAUAGGGGUUCUGAGAGGAAGGUCCCCCACAUUGGAACUGAGACACGGUCCAAACCCCUACGGGAGGCAGCAGUGAGGAAUAUUGGUCAAUGGGCGCGAGCCUGAACCAGCCAAGUAGCGUGAAGGAUGAAGGUCCUACGGAUUGUAAACUUCUUUUAUAAGGGAAUAAAGUCGCCUACGUGUAGGCGUUUGUAUGUACCUUAUGAAUAAGCAUCGGCUAACUCCGUGCCAGCAGCCGCGGUAAUACGGAGGAUGCGAGCGUUAUCCGGAUUUAUUGGGUUUAAAGGGAGCGUAGACGGAGGAUUAAGUCAGUUGUGAAAGUUUGCGGCUCAACCGUAAAAUUGCAGUUGAUACUGGUCCCCUUGAGUGCAGUUGAGGCAGGCGGAAUUCGUGGUGUAGCGGUGAAAUGCUUAGAUAUCACGAAGAACCCCGAUUGCGAAGGCAGCCUGCUAAGCUGUAACUGACGUUGAUGCUCGAAAGUGUGGGUAUCAAACAGGAUUAGAUACCCUGGUAGUCCACACGGUAAACGAUGGAUACUCGCUGUUGGCGAUAUACUGUCAGCGGCCAAGCGAAAGCAUUAAGUAUCCCACCUGGGGAGUACGCCGGCAACGGUGCAACUCAAAUGAAUUGACGGA
rnacentral:rRNA from 1 species